UUAAAUGAUGAGCUUGACCACUUAUGAAGCUAGAUGAUAUAAUAAAGGUAGCCGCUGAG
rnacentral:snoRNA from 1 species